rnacentral:rRNA from 1 species
UGCGUAGGUGGUCUUUUAAGUCAGAAGUGAAAGGCAUUGGCUCAACCAAUGUAAGCUUUUGAAACUGAAAGACUUGAGUGCAGGAGAGGUAAGUGGAAUUCCUAGUGUAGCGGUGAAAUGCGUAGAUAUUAGGAGGAACACCAGUGGCGAAGGCGACUUACUGGACUGUUACUGACACUGAGGCACGAAAGCGUGGGGAGCGAACAGGAUUAGAUACCCUGGUAGUCC